rnacentral:misc_RNA from 1 species
GUUUCAUUUUUCACUUUCUCACAAAAUUGAUUCUGAUUUCCUCUCUACACAGCUUUCAGUGGAAGAUCACUGAAAAUUAGAUAAAAUAGUCCAUCUCAACAAUGCGAAGAGAUGAACAACAACCCAACAAACAGAAAAGAACUAACCCAAAUGCAUUCCCAAAUAAACAACCAACAAAUCAACAAACCCAAAAUGUAUAACCGAGAAAUUAACGAAGCAGAGAUGGGCAGCAUAGCAGGCAAUACACAUCCAUGGCUCCUAUGAGUCCAUCCUCAAGGACCCACAUAUCGGCGCCGUCUAUGUCCCUUUACCCACCAGCAUUCAUGUGAAAUGGGUAUGUUCGGUUGCUAAGAAGAAGAAGCAUAUCUUGUUGAAGAAGCCCGUGGGACUCAAUGUUGGUGAGUUUUAUGAGAUUUUGGAUGCUUGUAGAAAUCAUACUGUGUCAAUAAUAGAGGCAAGGAACAAAGGAAUG